GUAAAUUUAUUAUUAUAGUAAAUUUUGUUAGAUCUAUUCUAAUUGAACUGUUCUAACAUAUACAUUAAAAAAAAGACUACAAACAAAAAAAAGGCAGUGACAAAUUUGUUAGAUCUGUUUUGUUAGACCGAUCUAACAAGCCUUUAAAAAAAAAUUUCCUAAGUUAACUAAAGAAUAAGAAAUCACGCGUGUCAACCCUUUCAUUUUUUCAUCUUCAUCAUUCGUUCUUCUUCAUCCUUCUGCAAACCCACGAAUCCAAACCCGCGAAUCCAAACCCGCGAAUCCAAACCCAUUUUUCAUCCUUCAACAUUCGUUUUUCAUCAAACCCAACCACAUUUAACCUUCAUCCUUCAGUGAAAACGUUUUCAUCCUUCCACAUUUAACCUUCAUCCUUCAGUGAAAACGUGAAUCGUGAAUCGCAGCUUUUAGCCUUCAUCGCCGGCGAGUUGGUCCGACGCAGCUUUCAGUCAAUUUCUUUCACUAUCGAGAAGUGUUUGUGGCUUUCUCCGGUGCAAAAUCUUCUUCAGCAGAUGCAAAGUAGGUUCCAGACCAUGUCUGACUCCAUUGUUACAAAGAAUAUCCUUUUUGCUCUUGGCAGAAGAUUCAGCUCUCAAGCCAUUCAAAUCAUAUAAGCAGAGUGUGAAAAAGCUCAGAAAAUUUGGGGAUGUUUUAACUAUUGUUGUUGUUGCAGAGCUUUGGGUGAAUAUAAUAAAUCGCGAAGAUUAAGAAAGAACAAGCCCACAUGGAGCAUUCCCAUUUGUCAAAGACAACCUAAAGGUUAUGAGUGUGGUUACUACAUUAUGAUACAUAUGUUGAACAUUGUAUCUAGUGGUCUUGUUGAUUCAUGGAUGCGGAUAUUUGGAGAAUCAAAACCAUUCGAAGAUGAAGAAAUGAUGAAUGUCCGACAACGUUGUGCAAACUUGAUUCUUGAACUAAUAGAAAAUGCUUGAAGCACUUGUAUCAUUUUAGUAUCUUUAGACUGUUAAUAGAAGACAAUGUUUUUUUUAGCUAGUGAAUAUUAUGUAGCUCUAAAUUUGAUAAUUUAGAUUUUGUAAAAAAAUUAUGACUCAUUGUCAUUAAUAUUUAAAUGUAAAGUUUCGUA